rnacentral:tRNA from 1 species
UCCCCAAUGGCUCAGUGGGUAAAGUAUUUGCCUGUGAUGCAGGAGACACAGGUUUGAUUCCUGGGUUAGGAA